rnacentral:rRNA from 1 species
CCUACGGGUGGCAGCAGUGAGGAAUAUUGGUCAAUGGGCGCGAGCCUGAACCAGCCAAGUAGCGUGAAGGAUGACUGCCCUACGGGUGGUAAACUUCUUUUAUAAAGGAAUAAAGUGAGGCACGUGUGCCUUUUUGCAUGUACUUUAUGAAUAAGGAUCGGCUAACUCCGUGCCAGCAGCCGCGGUAAUACGGAGGAUCCGAGCGUUAACGGGAUUUAGUGGGUUUAAAGGGAGCGUAGAUGGGUUGUUAAGUCAGUUGUGAAAGUUUGGGGCUCAACCGUGAAAUUGCAGUUGAUACUGGCAGGCUUGAGUGCAGUUGAGGUAGGCGGAAUUCGUGGUGUAGCGGUGAAAUGCUUAGAUAUCACGAAGAACUCCGAUUGCGAAGGCAGCUUACUGAAC